GGGGAUAUGGGGAUAUAUGUAUGCAUGUGGCCGAUUCACUUUAUUGUGCAGCAGAAACUAACACAGUAUUGUGAAGCAAUUAUACUCCAAUAAAGAUCUAUUUAAAAAAAAAGAAAAGUGUUGGUGAGGGUACAGAGCAACCAGGAACUCUUGCGCCUGGCUGGUGGGAGCUUAAAUUUGGAAAACAGUUGGAUAUUAAGUACUAAAAUGAAGAUGCAUACACCCUAUGACUCACAUUCCACUCCUAGGUAGAAAUGCGUGUUCCUGUGCACCAGGAGUUAGAGAUAAGAAUGUUCACAGUAGCGUUAUUUCUAAUCGCUCCAAAUUAGGGACAACCCACAUGUUCAGCAACUGUAGAGUGGAUAGAUCAGUUGUGUCGACAAGCAGUUGACUGCUUUUCACAAUCAAAAGGAAUCACAUAGAAGGUGCAUGGAACAACACAGGCGAAUCUUGUGCGUAUGGUGUUAAGUGAAAAUAGCCAGACGUGAAGGAAUUCAUAUUGUACGAUUUCAUUUAUAUGAAUUUCAGAAAGCAGACCAAACUGAAAUAGAGUUUAGGGAUUCGCGCAUAGGGUUGCGGGAGCAUGUAAAAUGUAGGGCACACGGGAGAGCUCCCAGGAUGCUGGGAAGUUCUGUUUGUUGACCUGAGUGCUAAUUAUUUUAGUGUUUGUUCUGUGAUAAUUCACUAAUCUGUCUAUUUUUGUUUUGCCCUUGUAUCUAUAAGGGUCUCAAUAGAAAACAGAUAGCACACUUAAACUAGAAUAAUUCAAGGGCUUAUGUAUAAAGAUCUAAUGACAAAAGAAUGGAACCUAGUGACAAAAGGGGGACCUUUGGCAGGACCGUUUCCUUGUUGUGCCCACCACCUUUAGGCCCAAAGAGGUUAAGGAAGGGAGAGGUUACUAGAACCUGGAGGGGUCACCCCUGGAGAGUCAGCUGCCUUGGAAACAGUAAGUGUGAGGUAACAAGGAACAAGGGGAGUAAGUACCCUGGCCUCAGGCUCCUCCUUGCCCAGAUGUCCUCUGAGGCGCUAGCAGAACUCGGCAGAAGCCAGGGGGCCCUUGAGCCUUUGGGUGGAAUCUGUACCCUCAGCCUCAGGAACAGAGCAGGGUGGAGAAGAGAAAAGAAGCAAGUGGAUUUUUCCAGCAUGCUGGGUUUUUCUGUGUGAGUGUUACAUUUUGUAUCAAAGAGGUUUCUUUAAAAAAGCUUAGGCUUUGAGUUGGCAAGACUGGGUUUGAGGCUAUCUGCUUCUUCUAAGCUGUUUCCGUGAGUAAUUUUUUUUAAACACCUUGAGUCUCAUCUCAUCUGUGAAUCAUCUCUUCUUAUCUAUGAAUCAUCUCUUCUUAUCUGUGAAUUAUCUCAUUCUUAUAGCUUGUGCAAAGUACAUGUUUUAGACACCGAAUACUAGUUCUCAUUGUAUUGUUCUCUCCUGCCUCAAAUACCUUUUUUUUCUUUGCAGCAUAUUUUUCCUGGGAAUUUUCAGACUGGGAGUGAGUAACAGUGCAAGAGCUGGAAGAAAGGGGAAUUUGGAUGAGACUUUCUCGAAGGGCUUCCCACCUCUGGCAUUAUACAGUUCUAAGGAACUCUUCCCACUGCAUGGCAAGCAGGAAGUGCAUCUGUGAGGAUGGGCCGGGUCCAGGGCUGCCCAGCUCCUAAGCCUGCAAGGCUGCCCACUCUGUCACUUGCCCUCCGCCACUCUCUCAGGAGAGCUGUUGUUCUUCGUGGUGGAGAACCUCCUUGAGACAUUAUAAUCAGCCUGCAGAGGAAGACAUAAAAAUUGUGCGGGCUCUUUGUUUCCUUGGUAAUAAAUCUGUACUCAUC